UGGGGAAUUUUGGACAAUGGGCGAAAGCCUGAUCCAGCCAUGCCGCGUGCAGGAUGAAGGCCUUCGGGUUGUAAAGCUCUUUCGGCCGGGAAGAAAUCGCGCCAGUUAAUACCUGGUGUGGAUGACGGUACCGGAAUAAGAAGCACCGGCUAACUACGUGCCAGCAGCCGCGGUAAUACGUAGGGUGCGAGCGUUAAUCGGAAUUACUGGGCGUAAAGCGUGCGCAGGCGGUUUUGCAAGACAGGCGUGAAAUCCCCGGGCUCAACCUGGGAACUGCGCUUGUGACUGCAUCACUCGAGUACGGCAGAGGGGGGUGGAAUUCCACGUGUAGCAGUGAAAUGCGUAGAGAUGUGGAGGAACACCGAUGGCGAAGGCAGCCCCCUGGGCCGAUACUGACGCU
rnacentral:rRNA from 1 species